rnacentral:lncRNA from 1 species
AUUACUACCAGAGGCAUUUUAUAGACUCUGAGCUGGAGUGCAACGACGUGGUCCUGUUCUGGCGAAUACAGCGCAUGCUCGCUAUCACUGCCAACACGCUGAGGCAGCAGCUGACAAACACCGAAGGCGGCUAGAGAAAAACGUUAAAGAGGUAUUAGAAGAUUUUGCUGAAGACGGCGAGAAGAAGGUUAAAUUGCUUACUGGCAAACGAGUUCAGCUGGCAGAAGAUCUCAGUAA